rnacentral:tRNA from 4 species
CGCGGGGUAGAGCAGUUGGUAGCUCGUCGGGCUCAUAACCCGAAGGUCGAGGGUUCAAGUCCCUCCCCCGCAA